AUUGAACGCUGGCGGCAGGCCUAACACAUGCAAGUCGAACGAGUGGCGGACGGGUGAGUAAUGUCUGGGAAACUGCCUGAUGGAGGGGGAUAACUACUGGAACCGGUAGCUAAUACCGCAUACCAUCAGAUGUGCCCAGAUGGGAUUAGCUAGUUGGUGGGGUAACGGCUCCCCAAGGCGACGAUCCCUAGCUGGUCUGAGAGGAGGACCAGCCACACUGGAACUGAGACACGGGCCAGACUCCGACGGGAGGCAGCAGUGGGGAAUAUGGCACAAUGGGCGCAAGCCUGAUGCAGCCAGGCCGCGUGUAUGAAGAAGGCCGUCGGGGUGUAAAGUACUUUCAGCGGGGAGGCGUUACCCGCAGAAGAAGCACCGGCUAACUCCGUGCCAGCCGCCGCGGUAAUAC
rnacentral:rRNA from 1 species